GCCAUUGAAAGAUUAUAAUCACCAUUGCUUUCUUCCCAUUCAUAAAUACUCGGUAUUUAAAAGGAGAACAACCGAUAAAACAGCGGUCCAAUGCCAGGAAGAAAAUACUCACAAAAGAAAUAUACAGAGGAGCCGUGAAUAAACGAGAAACAAUGAAUCCAUCAGUACAUGUCCGCCAAUAGUACUUCACAAACUUGUAAAAACAUAAUAAAAGAU